UAGUCCACGCCGUAAACGAUGAUUACUCGCUGUAGGCGAUACACAGUCUGUGGCUAAGCGAAAGUUUUAAGUAAUCCACCUGGGGAGUACGAUCGCAAGAUUGAAACUCAAAGGAAUUGACGGGGGCCCGCACAAGCGGAGGAACAUGUGGUUUAAUUCGAUGAUACGCGAGGAACCUUACCUGGACUUAAAUGUAGAUUGCAUAGAGUGGAGACAUUCUUUUCUUCGGACUAUUUACAAGGUGCUGCAUGGUUGUCGUCAGCUCGUGCCGUGAGGUGUCGGGUUAAGUCCCAUAACGAGCGCAACCCUUAUCCUUAGUUGCCAGCGGGUCAUGCCGGGGACUCUGAGGAGACUGCCACCGUAAGGUGUGAGGAAGGAGGGGACGACGUCAAAUCAUCAUGGCCUUUAUGCCCAGGGCUACACACGUGCUACAAUGGUAACGACAAAGGGUUGCGAACCUGCGAGGUAAGCCAAUCCCAAAAACGUUAUCUCAGUUCGGAUAGGAGUCUGCAACUCGACU
rnacentral:rRNA from 1 species